CCUCCCCUGUAUGUUUUACCCUUGUGUGGAUGCUAUGGUUGCUGGAAGUCUGGAAGUUUUUAUUUGCAGUUGCGACCUUUAGGAAUCGGGACCAGUGUCUUAAACUUUACAUCAUAAGAAUCUAAGACUAAUAUUUUGUGCUGUUUGAUACAAGCUGGUGAAAAGGAAGUGUGCUGUGUUUCAGACCAGCU